GCUAUAGCUCAGUUGGUUAGAGCAUCGUGCUGAUAACAUCAAGGUUGCAGCUUUGAUCCCUGUAUGGAACA